rnacentral:snoRNA from 1 species
CAGCCCUUUCAUGUGGGGCUGCUGGGCUGUGUCUGCAAGCAGCAGUCACCUUAGUAGAGUAUGUGGCCUCCUGCUUGUCUGGACUGUUGAAGGGACCUUGGAAUCAGCC